ACAUUUCGUUUUAACGCUCGCGCCAGUGGCUGCGCCGAAUCUCCGUAAUUGUGUACCGUAAUUAUUAUUUUGGUUUUUUUGUUCCGCUUAACAUAACGCGCGAUUCACAUUUCGUAUUAUCCGCGAACAGCGGACGGAAAUCGGUCAUUCGCGUGAACCCGUAAGAAGAAUAUACCGACGUUUUCGGUUUACAUUAUAAUAUACGUUUUUGAGUAGCCCGGCGUAUGAUCAAACCGUCAAACAGUCGUACAACACAUCGAUAAUAUGACUUC